rnacentral:rRNA from 2 species
GGAUGCGAUCAUACCAGCACUAAAGCACCGGAUCCCAUCAGAACUCCGAACUUAAGCGUGCUUGGGCGACAGUAGUACUAGGAUGGGUGACCUCCUGGGAAGUCCUCGUGUUGCAUUCC